CGCUGCCUACCGCUUAAUACUCUCCCCAAGCCUCGUUUGAAGAAGGGAAGCCUAUACCAAUUUUUUUUUUGUACGAUUGUUUGUCACUAAACUUCUUCUAAGCUGCUGAAGGGGUGUUGUUUAAAUUUGUGUAUAUUUUAGUGGGUCCCUGUGUAUUUUUCAUUUACAAAUACAUCCUUACUGUCAGGGCAUUUUAUGAGCCUGCACUGGUAGAUACCACCCUACCUAUGUCUGCCGUGAAGCAGUGAUGCAUUUCGGUUUGAACGACGGGACAAUCGUUGUACUAUAAAGCUGAGAUUUAGAUUUAGAACUUAAGUCUUAGGUUAUUUAGUGUUAAGGUGGGUGGCAACAUAUACGUUCUUGUUGUCUAUGGGCUCCGGUGAUUAUUUAACACAAGGGGGCCGUGAGCUGGUCCACCGAUUUAAGCAAUAAAAAUAUAAAAAACAUCCGAUCAGUGGACACUAUUAUUGGGUUCUAGAUAUUUGCUUUUAUUGUAGAACUGGACAUGCCAUAUUUUCAUAUAACAUAAAUUUUUUUAUUGCUUAGAAGGGUGGACGAGCUCACAGCCCACCUGGUGUUAAGUGGUUACUGGAGCCCAUAGACAUCUACGACGUCAAUGCGCCACCCACCUUGAGAUAUAAGUUCUAAGGUCUCAAGUAUAGUUACAACGGCUGCCCCACUCUUCAAACCGAAACGCAUUACUACUUCACGGCAGAAAUAGGCGGGGCUACCUACCCGCGCGGACUCACAAGAGGUCCUACCACCAGUAAAAUAUAUCAGUAUAAAUAUAUUGCUUAUAUAGAAUUUACACGAAGAUAGCCGGAAUCCUAGUAGGAUAAAGCGAACUUGUAUCGUGUGGUAUUAUGUGAUGUUUUAAUGAAUUACGUCCACCAUAAUUUGAUUGAACGAUUUCACAGAUGUACAUCUACAUUUAAAAACACAAAAGUAAAUUUGUAGACUUUAAUAUAUUUUGAAGUAUCUAUUCAUAUUUAAUAAAGGCCUGUAAUAAAAUCAUGCAAUGUUUUUCGUGGUGGUUGAGAAAUUUUUACAAUUAUGAUUCAAUUAUCAUUUCUAUCAUGAAAAAAAAUAACAAUUUUCUGAAGCUUUCAUCUCCUUUAAUGUUUUUACGGAAAGCGAAACCAGAUAUGCACAAUAUUUCCUUAGAUGAAACGGACAAUCUCGCCGAGCUUAUUGGCCUGCGCGCAGAUAAAUAAAGCGUCUGGCCUCCGUAAUGGAAAUUACAUACCCCCGAGGUCGGAAAUCAAAUUGACAGAAGAGGUUAAACAAACGAUGCGGUCAGGGAACCCAAGCCGUAGUCCGUCGAAUAUUAAUCGCUUGGUAAAUGCUCUUUUAUUUGUGUUUUCUCUUGCUCGGCUCCUGUGGCUAGAAUGAGCGACAAACUUAAUCUUCUCCGAUCUUGUGUCGUGUUUAUUAGUCUGCUAUUGCGGUAACUUACAAUUCUCUGAAUAAUAUAUUCAUAAUUUGUAAAACUUCAUGCUUUAUCUUUACAAGUUUCAUCGUCUUUACGAUGUGCAAAAAACGAAUGUGAUUACCGAAUUUACUCCAACCUUGUUUGGCAAUUCGAAGUCAUAACUAAUUAGUUGAGUUGAUGAGACACAUUAAAAUUAAAGCUAGCUUUAAUUAUGCCAACUUGGUAAUUAGACAAAAAUGAAAAAAAAAAAACAUUCUUAGCGGCUUUCCUCGGUGGCAAAAAGGAACAGCGAGUGUCUAUUGCUUGAUUGUCCCUUACCUGUAUUUAGUCAAUCCAUAUUCCUUCUUAUUCUUUUAGUGAUACAUUUUAACAGAAGUCAUCGAUCAAUAAGGCGACUUGAACCCUGAUAGUAUCAUUGAUCGAACCGUAAUAAAAAAAAAUUAAUAUUUUUAAAAAGGCAAGCCAAAUAAAGUAAAUCCUAGCUUGCUCCCUGACUAACACCCAACUCAAUUUUUUGCACCUAUGUAGCCGUGCUUACCGUACGUAAGAUAAAAUGAGUAUUAUGUGUAUAAUCUCUAAUAGCCGUAUACCUAUAAUUUUGACAACGUAGUCUUACAUUUCAAAUCUUCGUUAUGCAGACGACAUCACUUUAGUCACGUCAGGUGUUAGCCAGAUGGAAGAGCUACUCGGUAGAGUGGAACGCGUCAGUCUUGAUUUCGGACUUAAAAUUAACCGCAACAAAACAAGUGUCAUGAUUGUCGAUCGUGCUAAUAAUAACUCGCCAGAGGUCACAAAAAUUGCGAACUGCGAUGUCGUACAGUCAUACAUUUACUUAGGUGCACUGAUAUCGAACACUGGCGGGUGCGUUGAUGAAAUCAAGCGGCGUAUGGCUGUUUCGAGGUCAGCCAUGGACAGGCUGAAGAAAAUAUGGGGGAAUCGAAAUAUCACUAAAGCUACUAAAAUCAGACUUGUAAGCGCUGGUCUUCCCCAUUUUUCUUUAUGCUGCUGAGACCUGCACAUUGAGAGAAAGUGAGAAAAAGAGGAUAGAUGCUCUCGAAGUGUGGUGCUGAAGAAGAAUGUUGCAAAUAUCGUGGACAGAGUUCAGAACGAAUCAGUCAAUUCUACAGGAACUCGGCAUCAAGCAGCGACUAUCCUCCAUCGUUCAGGGUCGCAUUCUCACUUUCUUCGGGCAUGUGUCGCGGCGAGGUGACGACUCAGUUGAGCGCCUUGUGGUGCAGGGCAUGAUAGAGGGUACAAGACCGCGCGGCAGAUCACCGUUACGAUGGACCGACCAAAUAAAGGCAGCUUUGAACGGUCCCGUUAACGAGUGCACAAGAAGGGCCGCGGUACGCGAGGAAUGGCGACGUCUGGUGAAGCGCACCACCAACCGAAGUGAUGACCACGACCACUCUGCCAAGAGUGCAUACGACUGAGAAGAAGAAGAAGUCUUACAUUAAUAAAUUAAACACUCUGAUUUUAUAUUUGUCAAUUUGACAAAACUGGCACCUACCCCCACUGAAUCGAGACAGAAAAUGUAAUCGCUAAAUUAUAAUUUAUUUUAAUUGAAAACUGGACAAAUCAUAAUCAUGUCACUGAUUUGAUGAUAAACUCGCAUAUAUUUUUUUUAUGAAAACACGUAAAUGGUAAUCCAAAGUAAGAGCCAUUUCAAGCAGAGUAUUCCGAAGCGCUUCGGGAAUCCGAAUCAAACUCGUCUCAUUAGCCAGUAAAGGAAAACUUGGAUUAGUUGACCAACUUGAAGUAGGUUGUGAAUUGCGCGGGUGCGUUCGGCACGACGACAGACUGCAUAUAGAACAAGUUUUCUUGCUUAACGAAACCGAAUUAACUGAAGAUAGAGGACUCUUAUAUUAUUCUUACAAAAAUGAUUUUGAUUAUCUAGAACAGAAUUUAAGUCAAGUCAAGAAUUCUUUUUUGGGUUAGUUUUGGUUUGAUUAUCGGGUAGCAUUGUUGGCCAAUUAGUCAUAAGGAAUUGAGUUAAGUAAUAGGAGCGCAUCAGCUUACACAAGUAGUCAAAAUUAAAUACCUCUGCAAUGUUUAAAGGGGACCUGUAACGUGAGACCCGAAGUAGAUUUAGAGUUGCUGUGACUACAUUUGGGAAACUCUUUGACAAAGUAUUUUUCGGUCUCACCUUUCCUUUAGCGAGGGCAUUAAAGGCGAUCGGUCAGCUGAAACUUCUGUACUCCUUGUAAAUAUAAUGCUAAAAAAGUACCCUUGUUAACGCCUUUGCCGUGGCUGCGUGUCGUCUAUGAUCUAUAUUAAGCUAAAAAUUUUAUGAGGGAAUAAUCCCCGCUUCUUUACCUAGGUACCUACUUCAUUCAAUUUAAAACAAGUUUCAUUUAAAUAUAAUCUGUCUCUUAAAAUUUUUAUGAGGGAAUAAUCCCCGCUUCUUUACAUAUGUACCUACUUUAUUUAAUUUAUCAAAAAUACAAAACUAAACAUAUCUAAACAAAUUAUUGUACAAAUACAAAAUAAAGUCUCGUAACAGAAAACAACGAGAAUUCAUUGUAUCAUCAGAUACAACCCUAACGCAUAUAUUGGAUUUCUCAUUGGCUUAUCUCAAGUGCAUCCGUAACAUGCACGUAAUACCAUCUUGAAAAUAAUUAUAAAAAAAUAUUUGACGCCGUGGAUGAAAUUACUUACUUGAUGAAAUUUCUAAGGAAAAGUAUUGGAAGCGAUAAAAAUAAAGGUGUUUUAGUCUACGGAAAGGAUAUUAACUGCAACAUUUAUCUAGAGAAGGCGACCACCGCAGCUCGUGGAAAUAACGAUUUCUACAAGUAAUGAGUCGAAAACACUAUACUUUAUGAACAAACACUAGUCGUAGUGGUUGACGCGAGCUUAAGUUUUGUUGGUGCUUGGUGAGCCCGAACAGUUAGAUACCACUGCCCUGCUUAAAUAUACCGCAACGCAGUCACGCGUUUCAAAAUUGGUGUUGAGAUUUGCUAUACGAGUAUGAUGUUUUCGAAAUUUGAUGCCAAUUAAAAACAAAAAAACUAACGAUAAA